rnacentral:lncRNA from 10 species
GAAUGAUAAAAGGCAUAUCUCAUUUCCUUUUUUUAAAAAAUUACUCCCUAUAGUUAAAAACAGAAGUACAACUAAGCAAUAGGCCUAUGAAAAUAUUUAAUCCUGAUUAUGUAUUCAAAGGAAUACAAAAUAACAUAUCAAAAUAAACUAUUUUAACCUAUCAAAUAGUGAGAUUGACAAACCCGUUGUGAGACUCAGGGAUAGGUAAAGUGGAGUAGAAGGAAAGGAUCAAGUUCUCUCUCCUAGGAAACAGAGUUAGCUCUAGCCUUAAAGUAGAGAUGAUCAAGAAGGAAACAUGCAUCUAUAGCCAUAUCACCAUGAAUGUGCCCAAUCUCAUCUGAUCUUGGAAGCUAAGCAGGGUUGGGCCUGGUUAGUACUUGGAGGGGAGACUGCCAGGAAUACCAGGUGCUAUAGGCUUUUUUUUUUUUAAGGAAACAUUUUAGAGAAGUGAUGCGUUAAAUAUUAUAUUGAUCUUGAAGGAAGGGAAAUGCACCCUGCUUGAGGCAAUGAAAGGUAGUAAUAAAUUUUUUAAUCUAUUGAAUCAGAAUUGCCACCAUUGUCUCAAAAAACUCUCAUCCUGACUCCAGUGAGUAGUGUGACUUGGUAUCCCAACUCUGGAGAGUAUCAAAAGCCCUAAGCCAUGCAUACCCUUUGGUGCACUUUCUAGGAAUAUAUAUCAAGGAAUUGAUGACUAUGCCACAGCAUUUAUCCACAACGGCAUCUGUCACUGUAUCAUUUAUAAAAACAAGGAAAAACAACAACAAAAAGCAAACCAACCCCCACCAAAAUAAAUGACAACAAAGAAAAACAACCAAAGGGCACUGGGGGAUACAUGAUGAAACCUUCAUACAAAAGAGAUACUAGGUAGCUUUGGAUGUAGGAAAAUACAUAAUAACAUGGUAAGACAAACAUGAAAUAGCGGAAUCAGAUUUCAAAGUAGUAUGUUUGUAGUUUUACAUACAUAAAAGGUGCACACAAAGUGAAAAUUCGUCCAAAACCCAGCAAUUUCCCUUGGGAGUGGGGUGGGUAGGAGUAGGAUGUGAUUUUGCAUGCUGUUUGUAUUUCCCAUUUCUCAAUGUAUUUGCUCUAGUGCCCCUGAAACUUCCCACUUAGCUGCUUUCUUGCCCUCUCCUGACUCAGUCUCUUAGGUCCCAAUCAAUCUCUGGAGGUGGAAUGGAAGGAAGACAGGUAGACCCAUCUCAGGGUGGCCACAGCUGCUCCCACUGGGGAGUUCCAUUUGGAGAAGGCUCUCAGGUCUACCCCUCAUCCAAGCCCUGGAUUUCUUCUGGACCUCACCCAGAAAGGACAGGGUCAUCUUCCAUCUUUGCUAUUCCAUUCCACCAUUCUUCCAGCCCAAUUCCCUGCCUCUCCAAGGGGCACUGGUAGCUCAGGAAAAGAGCUUCUUCUUGGGGCUCUGUUUCAGACUUGGUUCCUGUCUUUGGUUUCUCUGUAAAACAGGGAUAAUGGUUAGGUGGUUGUGUGAUAAUGAUGAGAUUAGGAAUGCAAAGCACCUAGUAUGGUGCCUGGCACAUGGCAGGCUCUCAUCAGAGGCCGAUUCCCUUCACUUGGUUCCUUUUCCCCACAGUAACAAGGCUGCUCCAGGUGAGACCUGAUGACAAACAAUGAACAGACAUCAUCGUAUUCACUGCUUACAAGCAUCCCAACGGAACCUUACUAAAAACUCCAGGUUGUGCACAGCUUGCCUGGCACCACACAGUAGUAAGUGGAAGAGCUGGGCUCAGGGCUCAGGGCUUUGGUCUCCUGGAGUCCCAUCGGAGCAGAACCGGCCUUCCUGCCUUUUCCUCUGUAGCAGGGAUGGGAGGGGUGAUCCUCCCUCUUCAAGAAGCCUUGGAGCCAGGCUCUGGGAGGAUCAUUUCCCAUCUUGCUUUGCCAAGUCAUGUGAUCCCUGGAGUGGGGAUAAAGAGGACCAUCUAGACAAAGGGGAGGGAAGAUCAAGGACUGGGGUCCAUUUCUCCUGUGGUGGCAGAUGCCAUAGGGCAUUAGCACCAGUGCGUUUGGACGGGUCCUCCUUGUCAGGAUGCUCUGACCCCUGGGCAGCAGGGGUGAAAAAGCAGGGACAGGAGCAGAUGCUGAGGGCUUGGCCCUGACCCUCCC